rnacentral:snoRNA from 1 species
UGGAAAUGAUGAAAUAGAGAUAUAUGGGUGUUGAAUGUUGCUAUGAGUGGAAAAUUUUAAUACAUGUAGUAAUUUUCCUAGUUUAAUGUUUCAUUGAUAGUUACUAGUGUGAGUGUGUGUGUGUGUGUAUGUGUGUGUGUGGUGGCUAUGAAAGGGGGCACUGAAUGGUGAUGCUGAUAUUGGAGUGCAUCUGAGGCUGUUGUAGAAAUAAUAUGGGUUGUUGAUAACAACAUUGCCGAUGAUUAUAACCCAAAAACAGCUCACCUAAGUAGCCCAGCACCCUAAGCUCUCUAACAGGAUCAUUAAACAUCCUGUGAUCUGAUCCAA